CGAACUGGCGAAGAAGUACAAACUCAAGACGGCGUGGGGCACCGACGUGCUGUUCUCCCGCGCGCUGGCGCAGCAACAGGGCGCCAUUCUGGCCUCGCUUGUGCGCUGGUACACGCCGGCCGAAGCGUUGAUCAUGGCGACGUCAACAAAUGCCGAACUGCUGGCGCUGUCCGGAAAGCGCAAUCCCUAUCCGGGCAAGCUCGGCGUUGUGGAGCAAGGCGCGUUUGCCGACCUGCUGCUGGUCGACGGCAAUCCGCUGG
rnacentral:misc_RNA from 1 species